rnacentral:rRNA from 1 species
GAUGAACGCUGGCGGCGUGCCUAAUACAUGCAAGUCGAGCGAACAGACGAGGAGCUUGCUCCUCUGACGUUAGCGGCGGACGGGUGAGUAACACGUGGAUAACCUACCUAUAAGACUGGGAUAACUUCGGGAAACCGGCGCUAAUACCGGAUAAUAUAUUGAACCGCAUGGUUCAAUAGUGAAAGACGGUUUUGCUGUCACUUAUAGCUGGAUCCGCGCCGCAUUAGCUAGUUGGUAAGGUAACGGCUUACCAAGGCAACGAUGCGUAGCCGACCUGAGAGGGUGAUCGGCCACACUGGAACUGAGACACGGUCCAGACUCCUACGGGAGGCAGCAGUAGGGAAUCUUCCGCAAUGGGCGAAAGCCUGACGGAGCAACGCCGCGUGAGUGAUGAAGGUCUUCGGAUCGUAAAACUCUGUUAUUAGGGAAGAACAAAUGUGUAAGGAACUAUGCACGUCUUGACGGUACCUAAUCAGAAAGCCACGGCUAACUACGUG